UACAGAGGGGGCAAGCGUUGUUCGGAAUUACUGGGCGUAAAGAGCUCGUAGGCGGUCUGUCGCGUCUGCUGUGAAAACUCAGGGCUUAACCCUGAGCUUGCAGUGGGUACGGGCAGACUAGAGUGCGGUAGGGGAGACUGGAAUUCCUGGUGUAGCGGUGAAAUGCGCAGAUAUCAGGAGGAACACCGGUGGCGAAGGCGGGUCUCUGGGCCGUAACUGGCGCUGAGGAGCGAAAGCAUGGGGAGCGAACAGG
rnacentral:rRNA from 1 species